rnacentral:rRNA from 1 species
AUUGAACGCUGGCGGAAUGCUUUACACAUGCAAGUCGAACGGCAGCACGGACUUCGGUCUGGUGGCGAGUGGCGAACGGGUGAGUAAUGUAUCGGAACGUGCCCAGUCGUGGGGGAUAACGUAGUGAAAAUUACGCUAAUACCGCAUACGAUCUAUGGAUGAAAGCGGGGGAUCGCAAGACCUCGCGCGAUUGGAGCGGCCGAUAUCAGAUUAGGUAGUUGGUGGGGUAAAGGCCCACCAAGCCAGCGAUCUGUAGCUGGUCUGAGAGGACGACCAGCCACACUGGAACUGAGACACGGUCCAGACUCCUACGGGAGGCAGCAGUGGGGAAUUUUGGACAAUGGGCGAAAGCCUGAUCCAGCCAUUCCGCGUGCAGGAUGAAGGCCCUCGGGUUGUAAACUGCUUUUGUACAGAACGAAAAGGUUUCUACUAAUACUAGGAGCUCAUGACGGUACUGUAGGAAUAAGCACCGGCUAACUACGUGCCAGCCGCCGCAGUAA